UGAAUAUAAAUAUGUCAGAAAUAUAAAUCAUGCAUAAGUAUUAAGUAUUCAAGGACAAAAGCUUUCAUCUUACAUUAAAAAUUUUCACUUAUAAGAAACAUAUUUUACAUGCAAGAAAGUCAAAAAAUUGAAAAGUAUGGCACACCCACACUGACAAAAGUUGAUGUAGCUAUCAUAAUAUAUAAGAAGGCUUUAAAGCAAGAAAUAUUGCUAGAAAAAAUCAUUUAAUAAAAUACACCUAAUAAAUGUGCAAAACCUCUGUAGUAUACUUAUACAAAAUACACAGUCUAAUCCCUUUAUUAAGAAAGAUACAGAUAUUUUCUACAUUAAUUAUUUGAAAGACGCAAUACUAUAAAGACAUCAAUCUUCCUUAAAUUGACCUAGUGUCAAUUUAAUCUCAAAGAAAAUCUGAAUAUAUCGAAAAAUAUACACAUUGUUUAACCAUUGUUGGAGAGAUUAGUGUACGUGGCCACCAAUUCGAAAAUCAAUCCGAAUUGUACUCAUUACCCAUCUUGAAGCCUACCUGGUCCAUUGUUCAUCCUUUAC
rnacentral:lncRNA from 1 species